GUGCCUCGAUUAUCGGUGACGAACUUACUGACGACCGAUGGUUUGGACGCCUAGUCAUAAGUUACUAAGUUAGGUUAACUGAGUAAUGUUUUAAGUGUUUGUUAGUUGUUUCAUUAUUGUCUAUUUCACUGUUAAGUUUAGUCGAGUACUCUCUCUUUCAUUAUGAUUUAUAAGUCGAGGAAAAAAUGUAAAUUAAAAACAAAAUUAUAUUUUAUAUUUUAAUUUAUCGUUUACCCUAUAAUUGGACAAUAGUAACAACUGUAACGUCUGUAACUAUUCAUCGACAAUCGAAGUCGUAACUCGUGAUCGUUGGCUGUGUCCGGUGUACUUCUUAUGGAUAUGGAUACUUAUAAACUAACUGAAAAGAUCUAUACCGUCACACCAGUGAUAACUAAUAAUCAGCGAUUAAUUUUAAUAUUGUAUUUCAUUUACAAUUAUGAUUAAUCGGAAUGACAAAGUACAACUACAAUAAUUCAUUGAAAAAAUUUUGCUCAUCCAGUGAAUCAACAUUUGGAGAAUUGGUGUUUGAUUGGAUGUAAAUGUAUAUAUCAAACAAGAAAAUGAUGUCAUACAAAAACAUAUUGAUGAAUAAACUUAAUUGAGACUAGAUUUUGAUUGUAAAACAAUCUUCAAUGCUACCAUAUUAUUUCUAAACAUGCUACUGAAAAUGAAGAUAAAAUAAAAAUCGAAAUGGAAAUAAUUAAUAUCAUUAUAACAAAUGAAAUGCAGCUAUGAAAAUGUUGUUUAAGCUUCAGUCACAGAUUUAAAACAAGCAUUGCAAUAUUCACGUUCAUGAAUCAACAACAAACUAAGACAUAAACAAGAUGAGGUUAUUGAAAAAACAACAAAGGUCACAUUUCUGUCAGUAUAAUUUUUUUAAUGAUUUGAAAUGACUAACUGUAAAAGUCAUACAUAAACCUGUAAUAAAUUAUAUUAAUUUAGAGAAACAACUUAAAUUUAACCCCACAGACUUAUUCAUUACAAAUAAAGCAUUUAUAUAAUUUUUUCCUCUAAUUAAUAGAAGAAUCAAAAUUUGAAUUAUAAUUAUUGCAAUAGAAAACACAUAAAAGUGAAUAAUUUGUUAUAAUAGUUAUAAAUAUAUUUCUCAAAUAUUAAUUAGUGAAAAAUACAGGUGUAAUAUUUUCAAGUGUUUUCUUAUGUUCUAUCUUCAGUUCAUACAGUGGUAAUUAUAAUAAACAAAAUAUUAGACAGUAUGAUUUUUUCUCCCUUGUAACACUUUUAUUCUAACUGUAAGUUUUGCUAGGUUAUCGAAUCUACUACUAGAUAUAUUAAAGGAGUUAGUAAUAAAUCUUUAUCAAAUGCAACAAUUGAAACCAACCUAAGUAAAAUUCAUUUUCAAUUAUCGAAAUGAUAUUAGGGUAGGACA